rnacentral:rRNA from 1 species
AGCAGCCGCGGUAAUUCCAGCUCCAAUAGCGUAUAUUAAAGUUGUUGCAGUUAAAAAGCUCGUAGUUGAAUUUCGGGAUCAAUAUGUCGGUCGUGCCUUCGGUACGUACUGGUAUCAUUGGUCUCUCCUUUCUGACGAACCAUGAUGUCAUUAAUUUGGUGUUAUGGGGAGUUAGGACUGUUACUUUGAAAAAAUUAGAGUGUUUAAAGCAGGCUUUAGCUUGAAUACAUUAGCAUGGAAUAAUGAAAUAGGACGUUCGAACCUAUUUUGUUGGUUUCUAGGAUCAACGUAAUGAUUAAUAGGGAUAGUUGGGGGCAUUAGUAUUCAAUUGUCAGAGGUGAAAUUCUUGGAUUUAUUGAAGACUAAACUACUGCGAAAGCAUUUGCCAAGGAUGUUUUCAUUAAUCAAGAACGAAAGUUAGGGGAUCGAAGACGAUCAGAUACCGUCGUAGUCUUAACCAUAAACUAUGC